GGCCUGUGCUCAGCUAAGGGGUAUCAAUCGUUGGGGUGAGGGCAGAAUUUCUUGGGGAGCAUCCAGGGGUUCGUUGGGUACAGGAAAAAUACCGUUUGUGGCUGACUUAUCUGUCUUGUAUGGCAAGAAGACCGGUUAGAGAGCUGAGGACUGGCGUGUGUCUAGCUCUGGUUCCAUCUUGGAGUAGACACCCAUCUGCAAGGCAGAGGGGAAGGAUGAAAGGAGCAGCAUCCUGCCCUGCUUCCCUGCUCUGCCCUCCCGUGCACAGCCCAGCUCACCAGGUUGCUGGUCUGCCAGCCAUGCCCGUUGCAGUGUGUGGCUGCCUCUUUCCCCAAGCCUGGGUGGAAGCGGCACGGAAGUCAGCAGGCCUGGUGCCAGCACCUAGAGUGGAUUCUGUACUCAGCUCAGUGGUAUAUACCGUUGCGGUUUUGACAAGGCUGUCAUGGGGAACAGUCAAGUUUCCUUUGGACCUACGAAGGUUACCGUUUCUGGCUAACUUAUCUGUCAUUUAUGGCAUGAAGAC
ensembl:lncRNA